rnacentral:rRNA from 1 species
AACGAACGCUGGCGGCAUGCCUAACACAUGCAAGUCGAACGAGACCUUCGGGUCUAGUGGCGCACGGGUGCGUAACGCGUGGGAACCUGCCCUUAGGUUCGGAAUAACUCCCCGAAAGGGGUGCUAAUACCGGAUAAUGUCUUCGGACCAAAGAUUUAUCGCCUUUGGAUGGGCCCGCGUUGGAUUAGCUAGUUGGUAGGGUAAAAGCCUACCAAGGCGACGAUCCAUAGCUGGUCUGAGAGGAUGAUCAGCCACACUGGGACUGAGACACGGCCCAGACUCCUACGGGAGGCAGCAGUGGGGAAUAUUGGACAAUGGGCGAAAGGCUGAUCCAGCCAUGCCGCGUGAGUGAUGAAGGCCUUAGGGUUGUAAAGCUCUUUUAACCGGGAUGAUAAUGACAGUACCGGGAGAAUAAGCUCCGGCUAACUCCGUG